UACGUAGGGGGCAAGCGUUGUCCGGAAUUAUUGGGCGUAAAGCGCGCGCAGGCGGUUUUUUAAGUCUGGGGUAUAAAUGCAGGGCUCAACCCUGUAUCGCCCUGGAAACUGGGAGACUGGAGUGCAGGAGAGGAAAGCGGAAUUCCACGUGUAGCGGUGAAAUGCGUAGAGAUGUGGAGGAACACCAGUGGCGAAGGCGGCUUUCUGGCCUGUAACUGACGCUGAGGCGCGAAAGCGUGGGGAGCAAACAGG
rnacentral:rRNA from 1 species